rnacentral:rRNA from 2 species
AAGGAACGUUGAAGACGACGACGUUGAUAGGUCGGGUGUGUAAGCGCAGCGAUGCGUUGAGCUAACCGAUACUAAUGAACCGUGAGGCUUAACCUU